rnacentral:rRNA from 1 species
CAGCAGCCGCGGUAAAACAGAGGGUGCGAGCGUUAAUCGGAUUUACUGGGCGUAAAGCGUGCGUAGGCGGCUUCUUAAGUCGGAUGUGAAAUCCCUGAGCUUAACUUAGGAAUUGCAUUCGAUACUGGGAAGCUAGAGUAUGGGAGAGGAUGGUAGAAUUCCAGGUGUAGCGGUGAAAUGCGUAGAGAUCUGGAGGAAUACCGAUGGCGAAGGCAGCCAUCUGGCCUAAUACUGACGCUGAGGUACGAAAGCAUGGGGAGCAAACAGGAUUAGAUACCCCAGUAGUCCCUGUCUCUUAUAA